rnacentral:rRNA from 1 species
GACGAACGCUGGCGGCGUGCUUAACACGUGCAAGUCGAACGGAAAGGCCCUGCUUUUGUGGGGUGCUCGAGUGGCGAACGGGUGAGUAACACGUGAGUAACCUGCCCUUGACUUUGGGAUAACUUCAGGAAACUGGGGCUAAUACCGGAUAGGAGCUCCUGCUGCAUGGUGGGGGUUGAAAAGUUUCGGCGGUUGGGGAUGGACUCGCGGCUUAUCAGCUUGUUGGUGGGGUAGUGGCUUACCAAGGCUUUGACGGGUAGCCGGCCUGAGAGGGUGACCGGCCACAUUGGGACUGAGAUACGGCCCAGACUCCUACGGGAGGCAGCAGUGGGGAAUAUUGCACAAUGGGCGGAAGCCUGAUGCAGCAACGCCGCGUGCGGGAUGACGGCCUUCGGGUUGUAAACCGCUUUCGCCUGUGACGAAGCGUGAGUGACGGUAAUGGGUAAAGAAGCACCGGCUAACUACGUG